AUAUUUAUCAUGAACGAUUAGUAAUACAUAACAUUAAUCUUCGGCGGUGGGUUGAACAUUUUACCAUGACAUUUCCCCCCAUUAUUUUUAACAAGCAUAAGUAUGUUUUCUUACAUAAGGCGGGGAAUAAGAUUCCGAUGGCAGAUCUUAUAUGAUGAGGCUUCGCUGUUUAUUAAUGUUUAUUUAUUAGUAACCUGUAACCACCGUCAUCAAUUCCCGAGCCUUGUGGUGGUUGAAAUGUUAAUAACACUAAAAGUUUUGCGAGAGACAAGACCUGUACCAUAGAUUCAACAGGGCCAUUGUGGUUAUCAUAUACACGGUUACGAUGACAUACACUACGAACUAAUGCCGUAUGAAUACCGAUGUCCUGAAGUCUACCAUCUCUACGAUCCAUCGCUUAACAUGUGUGGUUUGUAGAACAUACCCACGAUGGACACCGCACAUUAUACUACGUUUGUGGCUUGUUAGUGAACAAAAUCAUUGGAGAAGGCGGAGAUAUCAUCGUUUAUACAGGAAAUGAAUGCAGUAGUAAUGAAAUAAACACAAUACCACUAACGAUUUAUGAGUAACUAAUAAUGUUGUGAAUUUAUGAAAGAUUUAUAUACAAACUGAACCUGUUGAUUACCCAGUGUUUGGCUAAACAUCACUCCCGUUAACCAACUGAAUUAGAUGCACUACUAUUCAAGUACUAUUCGACAGACUAUAAUAACAUUACGAUUUUACUAUCAAGCUCUGUGUAAAUCGAGUUUAUAAAGUUAUUAACCAACAUGGGUUGUACAACUAGUAAAUCUAUAAAACUGACGUCGGAAUAUGUCAACCUAAGUUCCGAACAGAAGCUGAGGACAUGUUAUUAUAGAGAUUGGGGCGAUUCGGUGACGGAUUCUGGCGUCCAUACAACCUCCACCUAUUUAGAACGAAACUGUAAUUCAGCCAGCAGUGUAAUACGCGAGACCAGUGUCAGUGAUGGUGGGAGAGUCUCGCCUGUACCUGCAGCUAAAGUUGAAAACAGCCAGGCCUGAUAAAUGUAUUGAUAUAAUAAUCUGUAAUAUAAUUUGGUUUGCCAUUUGUUAGUUGUGUUGAAACACUGAAUGAAAGGCGGGGAAAUUUCAAAGUUUGUUAAAUUCCCAGUGACUAUCAAAAGUAUGGUAAUGGCAUGACCGGUGAACGUUAGCAGACGGUAAUAUAAUGGUCAGCAUUUAUUUCUGGUACGGUAAUAUCAUGACUCACGAAUGUAUGAAUGCCAUGACCAUUGUUAUAUCAUGACAGAUGGAUAUCAGCAGUAUGGGAAUAUCAUGAACGGUAAAUGUCAACAUAUCGUAAUAUCAUGACAAGUGAAUGAUUGCAGAAUAGUGAGAUCAUGACCGCUGCAAAUUUACAGUAGAAUUAUGUUUUAAAUCUUCAAAUCCUUAGAACAAUUUACAUAACUUGGGCAAGAAUCCUUUAACAUUUGAAUUUGAGUUAAAUUCAGAUCGUCACAAGCAUGAUAAUUGACAAUUAUGUCAGUAUGUCUUGUUUCCAUGACUACAAUCUAUUAACGUUCAUAUCA